rnacentral:rRNA from 1 species
AUUGAACGCUGGCGGCAUGCCUUACACAUGCAAGUCGAACGGUAACAGGUCUUCGGAUGCUGACGAGUGGCGAACGGGUGAGUAAUACAUCGGAACGUGCCCGAUCGUGGGGGAUAACGAAGCGAAAGCUUUGCUAAUACCGCAUACGAUCUACGGAGGAAAGCAGGGGAGCGCAAGGGCUUGGGCGAACGGAGCGGCCGAUGGCAGAUUAGGUAGUUGGUGGGAUAAAAGCUUACCAAGCCGACGAUCUGUAGCUGGUCUGAGAGGACGACCAGCCACACUGGGACUGAGACACGGCCCAGACUCCUACGGGAGGCAGCAGUGGGGAAUUUUGGACAAUGGGCGAAAGCCUGAUCCAGUCAUGCCGCGUGCAGGAUGAAGGCCUUCGGGUUGUAAACUGCUUUUGUACGGAACGAAAAGACUCUGGUUAAUACCUGGGGUCCAUGACGGUACCGUAAGAAUAAGCACCGGCUAACUACGUG